UACGUAGGGUGCGAGCGUUGUCCGGAAUUAUUGGGCGUAAAGGGCUCGUAGGCGGUUUGUCGCGUCGGGGGUGAAAACCUUGGGCUUAACUCAGGGCUUGCUUUCGAUACGGGCAGACUAGAGGUAUGCAGGGGAGAACGGAAUUCCUGGUGUAGCGGUGAAAUGCGCAGAUAUCAGGAGGAACACCGGUGGCGAAGGCGGUUCUCUGGGCAUGUCCUGACGCUGAGGAGCGAAAGUGUGGGGAGCGAACAGG
rnacentral:rRNA from 1 species